rnacentral:lncRNA from 1 species
AUAAUUCAAUGGAGUUCAGCAAGAUUGGUCGAACCAGUACGCACUAUUGAUGGGCUUACAUUUCAGAAAACAGAGUACCCACAGCUUCAAUUUAUCUCCCGCAUCUGCAGAAGAAAUCAUCUCAGAGUUGGGCACUAUGGGGAUUCACAUGAUAAUUCCACUGAAGAAGCAUCCAUAUGAUUGACGUUCCUAUGUAAAUAAACGGGCAGUGUCGAUUAGAGUGGCUAAACAAAUGGAGCAUUAUUACAGGUAAUGCAUGCAACAAGCACGCUGUCAGUGCUUCUAUUUUGCAAGAUUGAAAGCUGGAACCGAUAAAUGCUACAUUCCAUUGUUUAAACUGCAAAAGUAAAAUAUAUACUGAUAAAAUCCUGAGGAAGUUUAAAUGAAGACCCUGCAUAGGGAAACAAGAUAGCUCCUAAAGCUAAAUCAAAUAAAUAUUUUGAGAGAAGUACCAGACAAUCAACCAAACAGGUCGUUAAAGCUGAUUUCUGAUUAGGUUCUGAAGAACUAAAUUUUCGAAGGUGAAUGAAAUUAAUGGUCCACUCUGAAGGAAAGCUUAGUACCUGCAAAGAAGCCAACUGUGCUCAGAUUUGCUGCAGCCAUGGUGUGAUAUAUCAAGUACUCUGUGAUAGAAAUUAUAAAUUUAGCAUGAGGGCUUUUCUUAAAGAUGUGGCAAAACCCCAUUAUGAACUGAAUCUUGUAACUGCCUACAAGAAAGACCAUGUAGCUGAGAGGGAUUAAGACUUCCCUACUCACUCAAUCUAGGAGGAAUAAGGAUAAUAAUUGCUGGUGAUGAUAAGCAAUGUUUGUUGAACUUUUUGGUUUCUUUCUUUGCGAUGUUCUUUUUCUGUUCAUAAUAUUUUCACUAGGCGG